AUUGAACGCUGGCGGCAGGCCUAACACAUGCAAGUCGAACGAGUGGCGGACGGGUGAGUAAUGUCUGGGAAACUGCCUGAUGGAGGGGGAUAACUACUGGAAACGGUAGCUAAUACCGCAUACCAUCAGAUGUGCCCAGAUGGGAUUAGAUAGUUGGUGGGGUAACGGCUCACCAAGGCGACGAUCCCUAGCUGGUCUGAGAGGAUGACCAGCCACACUGGGACUGCAGCACGGUCCAGACUCCGACGAGAGGCAGCAGUGGGAAAUAUUGCAAAAUGGGCGCAAGCCUGAUGCAGACAUGCAGCGUGUAUGAAGAAGGCCUUCGAGUUGUAAAGUGCUUUCAGCGGGGAGGCGUUACCCGCAGAAGAAGCACCGGCUAACUCCGUGCCAGCCGCCGCGGUAAUAC
rnacentral:rRNA from 1 species